rnacentral:rRNA from 1 species
ACUACGGGGGGCAGCAGUGGGGAAUAUUGCGCAAUGGGCGAAAGCCUGACGCAGCGACGCCGCGUGAGGGAUGAAGGUCUUCGGAUCGUAAACCUCUGUCAGCAGGGAAGAACGGUCACUGUGCUAAUCAGCAGUGAAUUGACGGUACCUGCAAAGGAAGCACCGGCUAACUCCGUGCCAGCAGCCGCGGUAAUACGGAGGGUGCGAGCGUUAAUCGGAAUUACUGGGCGGAAAGCGCUCGUAGGCGGUAGGUCAAGUCAAGGGUGAAAUCCCCGGGCUCAACGUGGGAACUGCCUUUGAAACUGACAAACUGGAGUGUGUGAGAGGAUAGUGGAAUUCCAGGUGUAGGAGUGAAAUCCGUAGAUAUCUGGAGGAACAUCAGUGGCGAAGGCGACUAUCUGGCACAUAACUGACGCUGAGGAGCGAAAGCGUGGGUAGCAAACAGGAUUAGAUACCCUGGUAGUC